rnacentral:tRNA from 1 species
UGGAGCGUAGCCUAGCAGCGAGGUACUCGGCUUGGGACCGAGAUCACGCGGGUGCGAGUCCCGCCGCUCCGACCA